rnacentral:rRNA from 1 species
UACGAAUGGAGCGAGCGUUGUUCGGAAUCACUGGGCGUAAAGCGUGCGCAGGCGGUCUUGAAAGUCAGAAGUGAAAGCCCAGGGCUCAACCCUGGAAUUGCUUUUGAAACUCCAAGACUAGAGUACUGGAGGGGUUGGCGGAAUUUCGAGUGUAGCAGUGAAAUGCGUAGAUAUUCGAAGGAACACCGAUGGCGUAGGCAGCCAACUGGACAGUUACUGACGCUCAUGCACGAAAGCGUGGGGAUCAAACAGG